rnacentral:misc_RNA from 1 species
GUGAAUCAUCGAAUCUUUGAACGCACCUUGCGCUCCUUGGUAUUCCGAGGAGCAUGCCUGUUUGAGUGUCACGUGAAACCCUCACCCCUGCGAUGUCAAAGUCGUGGACGGUGGAUUUGGACGCUGCCGUUGUUGGCUCGUCUCGAAAUGCAUUAGCCGUGCGCGUCGCGCCAGCGCCUCUUGGUGUGAUAAUUAUCUACGCCGUUCAGAGUGCCAGUGCCCAAGACUGUGGCUCAUAGCCGUCUUCGGACAAUUCACUUUAACGCUCUGGCCUCAAAUCAGGUAGGACUACCCGCUGAACUUAAGCAUAUCAAUAAGCGGAGGA